UUUCCGUAGGUGAACCUGCGGAUGGAUCAUUACAGAGUUCAUGCCCUCACGGGUAGAUCUCCCACCCUUGAAUAUUUAUACCUUAGUUGCUUUGGCAGGCCGUGGAAACACCAUGGGCUCCGGCUUAUGCGUGCCUGCCAGAGGAAACAAACUCUGUUUUCAGUGAUGUCUGAGUACUAUAUAAUAGUUAAAACUUUCAACAACGGAUCUCUUGGUUCUG
rnacentral:misc_RNA from 1 species